GAUGAACGCUGGCGGCGUGCCUAAUACAUGCAAGUCGAGCGAACAGAUAAGGAGCUUGCUCCUUUGACGUUAGCGGCGGACGGGUGAGUAACACGUGGAUAACCUACCUAUAAGACUGGGAUAACUUCGGGAAACCGGAGCUAAUACCGGAUAACAUAUUGAACCGCAUGGUUCAAUAGUGAAAGGCGGCUUUGCUGUCACUUAUAGAUGGAUCCGCGCCGUAUUAGCUAGUUGGUAAGGUAACGGCUUACCAAGGCAACGAUACGUAGCCGACCUGAGAGGGGGAUCGCCCCACAUGGAACUGAGAACGGUUCCAACACCCUCGGGGAGGCAGCAGUAGGGAAUCUGCCGGAAGGGGCGAAAGCCGGACGGGGCAACGCCGGGUGGGUGAGGAAGGGCUGGGGAUCGAAAAACCUUGUUAACGGGGAAAAAAAAAUGUGAAAGAAACGGUGAAAAUCUUGAGGGAACCAGUUAAAAAAGCCCCGGCUAACUACGU
rnacentral:rRNA from 1 species